rnacentral:rRNA from 1 species
CAACAUCGGUCCAAUCCUUAAAGUCAUCCUCAGUUCGGACUGGGGUCUGCAACCCGACCCCACGAAGCUGGAUUCGCUAGUAAUCGCGCAUCAGCCAUGGCGCGGUGAAUACGUUCCCGGGCCUUGUACACACCGCCCGUCAAGCCAUGAAAGCCGGGGGCGCCUGAAGUCCGUGACCGCGAGGGUCGGCCUAGGGUGAAACCGGUGAUUGGGGCUAAGUCGUAACAAGGUAUC